GAAAUCAUGGAAUGUCCAAGUUGGAGAAGACUUAGCAAUCUUCUGGUCUAACACUGCCCAAGAAAGGACAUCCAAUGACAGCUGCCAUCCCAACAUGUGCUCACCAUCCUCAGCUUGCCCUCCUCACAGGGAUGCCCACCACACAAGAACAACAGGAACCAAACAGGGAAGCAUUUAUAACUCAGGAUCUCUAAGAAGAGAUAGAAGUAGUUAAUAUGGAACCAAAACCAUGUGAGUCAAAUGCUGAAGAUCUUUUAUCAAGUAGUGGCAUCACAUCCAACAGAGGUCCUUCAAGCUCAUUUUUUGUGUCAUCUGUUCGUGGUACAGUAAUUGAAAACACAGCUUCAACUGGGACUUUCACACAGAUUCCUAUUUUCCCAAAAUAUGAAGUGGAACUUGAUUCUCCUAGAAAAAUCAUUGCUUAUCCAGGGAAGGAACAUAUUGAACGUGUUUUGGAAGAAUAUUCACAUCAAGUCAAAGAUUUGCAGAGAAGGCUAAAUGAAGUAGAAGAUCAACUUGAAACACUGAAAGCUGAAUCACAGAACAAAAUAGAACUACUACUGCAACAACAUCAAGACAGAGAACAAGCAAGAAACCAAAACUCAAUGUAUAUGUGUCAUCUCAGUGAACUGGAAUCUACUGUUUCUCAGCUGCGUUCUGAAUUAAGGGAAGCCAAAAGGAUGUAUGAAGACAAGAUAGAAGAGCUGGAGAAGCAGUUAGUCCUGGCCAACUCAGAGCUCACUGAAGCACGCACAGAACGGGACCAAUUCAGUCAGGAAUCUGGAAAUCUGGAUGAUCAGCUUCAAAAGCUAUUGGCAGAUCUACACAAGAGGGAAAAGGAGCUGAGUCUGGAGAAGGAGCAGAACAAGCGUCUGUGGGACCGAGACAUGGGCAACAGCAUCACCAUUGACCACCUGCGGCGGGAGCUGGAUGACCGGAACAUGGAGGUGCAGCGCCUGGAGGCCCUGCUCAAGACCAUGAAGAGCGAGUGCCAGGGCCAGAUGGAGCAGCAGAUGGCAGCGAUCCAGGGAAAGAAUGAGAGUCUGGAGAAAGUGUCCUCCCUCACUGCUCAGCUCGAGUCCACCAAGGAGAUGCUGCGCAAAGUGGUGGAAGAGCUAACAGCCAAGAAGAUGACCCUGGAGAACUCGGAGAGGACGGUAUCAGACCUGACAGCUUCCCUGCAGGAGAAAGAGCGUGCCAUAGAGGCUACCAACUCAGAAAUCACUAAGCUUCGCUCCCGCGUGGACUUGAAACUGCAGGAGCUGCAGCACCUAAAGACUGAGGAGGAGCACCUGCAGCAUGCACAGACUGAGUGCGAGGCCCUGCGGCUGCAGAUGGCAGGGAAGGACAAAGUGAUCGAGAUUCUGCGCCAGCAGAUUGAAAACAUGAUGCAGCUGGUGGGCCAGCAUGGACGCACAGCGGGGGCUAUACUGGUAGAAAAGGCCCAGCUGGAGAAAGAGAUAAAUGAUAGGAGACUGGAGCUGCAGGAGUUUAAGGUUUUAAAAGAUAAGAAAGAUGCCAAGAUUCGGGAGCUUGAGGCCAAAGUGAGUGACCUGGAAUUGGAAAAGGUGAAACUGGUGAAUGCAGGCUCUGAGCGGCUCCGGGCUGUGAGGGACAUCAAACAGGAGAGGGAUCAGUUACUAAAUGAGGUGAAGAACAGCAGGAGCGAGCUGAACAAUCUUUCAGAGGACUAUGAAGUCUUAAAAAGAAAUUUUCGAAACAAGAGUGAGGAAAUGGAAACUACUACAAAUAAACUGAAAAUGCAAUUAAAAUCUGCGCAGUCUGAACUAGAGCAAACAAGGAAUACCCUAAAGUCAAUGGAAGGAGCUGAUGGUCAUGCUGUGAAAGUGGCAGUGGGUAUGCAAAAGCAAAUCACAGCCAAAAGAGGUCAGAUAGAUGCCCUUCAAAGCAAGAUCCAGUUUUUGGAAGAGGCCAUGACAAAUGCAAAUAAGGAGAAACAUUUUUUGAAAGAAGAGAAGAAUAAACUCAGCCAGGAACUGAGCACUGUUGCAACUGAAAAAAACAAGAUGGCUGGGGAGCUGGAAGUUCUGCGGUCUCAGGAACGCCGCUUGAAAGAAAAGGUUGCUAAUAUGGAAGUUGCUCUUGAUAAGUUUGCAGAAUGUCAAGAUAUAAUACAGCGUCAGGAGCAGGAAUCUGUACGCCUAAAACUUCAGCACACUUUGGAUGUAAAAGAGCUUCAGGGUCCUGGAUUUACUUCAAAUUCUUCAAUGAAACCACGCCUGCUCCAGCCAGCCUCUUUUACCCGUACCCAUUCUAAUGUACCGUCUUCCCAGUCUACAGCCAGCUUCCUCUCGCAUCACUCCAGGAAGACCACUGCACUGAAGGAAGACCCCACGAAGGACCUGAAACAGCUCUUGCAGGAGCUGAGAAGCGUGAUCAAUGAGGAGCCAACUGUGCAGCUGAGCAAGGCAGAGGACAAAGGGAGAGCACCAUCGCUGGGGGCCUUGGAUGAUAGGGUAAGAGAUUGCAUUAUCGAAUCAAGCCUGAGAUCAGACAUAUGUCAUAGGACUUGUGCGGAGCAGAGUCAUGCUCGCCACCCUGAUCGUAUGAUCUCAGCCUUCACAUGUGCCAGGGAGCCAGUUCUGUUACAUGCAGAACUGGAAGAUCCAUCUAGUUGCUUCACAUUCCCUUCUACAGCAAGCCCAUCUGUGAAAAAUUCAGCUUCCCGAUCAUUCACUUCCCCUAAGAAGUCUCCAGUGCACUCACUGCUCACGAGUUUGGCUGAAGAUUCAGUAGGUUCCUCACCACAGUACGGAUCCACCAAAACCAUUCCCUCACCCGAUUCUGCUAAAGCUUUUUCAGAUCUCUUAUGUGAAGAUACAACAUUGAUCGAGAGUGACUGCCUGACUGCUGAAAUGGGAGCGAGCAGGAAGAUGCAGAUGGCUUCGUGUACCCCCAAAUCUCAGCCCUCCGAAGCUUUGCUGUCAGGUCUGCCAGUGUACAACUAGGUCAUGGAUCUGCCAGAUGCACCAAGGCAGCCCUGUCCUGGCAAGAUGUGAGGCUCCUCCAAUGGGCAACUCCAGCUUCAGGACUUUGAAGUGGGCUGAUGGGAACUGCAUUUGGACUACCUUGGUCGCAGAUUCUCUUCACACCCAGUCUGCUUCCUUCUGCAGAGGUCAGAUGUGCACUGCAAUAGAACAGUUCUCCCUGCCUUUUCCCAUUCCUUCCCCUAACUCACCUCAUGAACAUUAAAUCCCACCACACUGUCUGUUUCUCAAGAGACCUGAACUGAUGCAGUUUUCCUCACCAGAGAAAUUCUCCCUAUGUGCCAUGAGAUGAGGCUUUCCCAUCUUCACAAAGACCCUAAUGAUCCUUGUGGAAAUAGUUGUAGGGGGCUGGGAAAACCUGUUCUCUUGGUAUUCACUCCUAACAUCCCUCAUUGGCCUUGAACCUUGUAAUCACUGAUGUGCUGGAGAAAGUUUGUACUGUCUCUUAAAAAUCUAUUGACAAAUUCUCCGGAGUUUAGUGAUCUGGUUGGUACAACAACCAUUAUUGAAACUUAAAUGAUUUAUACUUACAGCUAAAUAAAUGAUGUGUAAAAUAAAAGUAAUAACUCAAAAACCUACCACUUCCUAGGUACUUAACAACUUGUUAUUUAUGCACUCAGGUUCUUUAUGCCUAUUGUAUCUGGGUGUGGGGAAUACUAUAUAAUGGUGUGUCUUGGCACUUCUUUUUGGACUCUGGAGCCCAGAUUUACACUUGACCUUAGACAAAAGGCUGAGGAGUGAUGAGGAAGACAGGUUUAGACUUGCUGUUUCAGCUCAUUUCUUUAGUAACCGGAGGAGCUGCUAGCUUUGAGCGUAGCAUGAAGCAAGAGACAGCUUCCUGGCUGGUCCAGGAAGCUCUGCCUUGCAAGCCAGUGGGCCCAGUGUGCACACCGCACUAGUGGCAAAUAUAGCUGCUGAAUGGAACUUUGGUGUCCAGAAAGGUGGAGCAUAGCACAGGCCCUCAGCAUUUUGCCGCCAAGCCACAAACUCAGUAGCUUGUAACUUUUCUCCUUCUGAGAAGCACAUCUUAGCUGCUUGCUGGGCACUAGUAAAUACAGCAGCCUGACCAUGAGCAGUAGGCAACCAUGUGACAGAUGUCCAUCAGAGAUGGAGUAAUCUGAUCCACCAUAUGUCAGCUAA
rnacentral:lncRNA from 1 species